AACAACAAGAACAACAAGAACAACAAGAAAACAAGGGGACCUAAGCAAACCUGCUUUGGGAUUUCUCCCUCCCCUCUCUCUCUUUUUGUUUUGUGUGGCGCUCUAUCCUUCAUUUCCAUUUAACUAGUGGUAUUUUAAGAAAAGCAAGUA
rnacentral:ribozyme from 12 species